CCCUGUUUGGGUUUACCUUCCUCAUGUGAAUGAAUCCUGCAGAGAGCCAGACUGCAGGUCCAGCAGCAGCCCUUUCUCUGCUGAUUUUAUUUCUCUCUCAUGCAGGCUGAUGUUUGUUAUACAUUAAUAACAUCUAGAAGGAAUUUGAAUCAGGUUAAGCCACUCAUCAUUGCAAAGACAUCUGAUCUUAAAAUGGAUCAUUUCUGGGUUCUUGUGCUUGUUUGACACAUUUUGUCUUCUCAUUUUCUUCAAAUUAAAACCAGCAGCUUUAAAAGACUUCAAAUUUUUUCCCUUCAACUGCCAUUGUAUGCUGGUUCUGGCCAAACCUCACUCUGAGGGCAGCUCUACCCGAAAGAGAGACUAAUCAACUGACCGACCAACACUGCUAUCAAAGAACCAGAACCAGAUGCAUUAAAACCACCUGCAGGUACGUCUCAUGCCAAUGCUGUAUUAACUAUUUAUGAUGUAUUUAAUAUAUUCAUUAAUAAUUAUGUCUGUCAACAAACUUGUCAUUGGAUAAUAAAUGUGUGGUAUUAAUGCAGACUGCACAUAGUAAAGUAGUUUCUACAAAUUUUAAGUUACUUUUUAAUAACAUUCAAAUUUAUGUGUAAAGGUGUUCAAAAAUAUAUGUACAUUUUAGUGGGAACCUGAAGUAUAUGACGUAACUACUCAAACUUACAUAACAUACCAUGGACCACAUUAGGAUAGCAUAUAAAACUACUUUCUAUUUGUUUUCUUUUGCUUUCAUUCUCUUUUUUCCUGCCUUAACUGAUAAGAAAAGUAAUAUUUUCCCAUGGAUAUUUUCAGGGCACCGCAGGCCCGACCUAAACCGGCUGUACUGUAGUAUGGUGAUCUGCUGCAUACAGUUUUUUUCUGAAUGGGUGUCACAAAUUCAAAUGAAAUUGAAUGCCAUCUCAGCUGGUAAUGAAACUUAACCUCAAACUUUCAUCACUUUCAAAAUAUCAAAACAAAUGCCAGAGAUUGCAACACUGGAAAAUGUUGCAAUCCUUACUCAGUAUUGCUUUAUACAGCAGCUUGUUUUCUAUCUGUAUCACACUUGGUUAUAUGAAGUCACGCAAAAAAAAACAACGCACUAAUGAUUGUGGUCUUUUACUAAAUUGUUGGUUUUAUUCAGUUUUCAUGUAUCAUACCAUUCAUUAUAUGGGACUUUUUAAAGCCAGCAAUGACUCAAUGGCAAAAAAACCCUGCUUUCUUUCUUGACAAAUAUCAAUUAUACUUGAUAUUUAUACUUGUGUAGAUACUAUUUAAUGUAUUAAUAUACUAUUAUGGGGUUCUUUAGAAUUGUAAAUAAAGAAAGACAUCAAGAAUUCACCAAGAAAUGCCACUGAAAAGCUGAGAGCAUUCAUCAAUAUGUCACUACUGGCAGUAGGAUUUGAUUAAUUGCAGCCAACAAGCAUUUCAUAUGGUCCUCCCACUAGGGAUGGAUGAUUGCAUUAUUGUUUUUUUGUGUGACAGUUAACCUAUGAGCUCCCAUUUAGUUAGAUAUGGUACUAAGUUUCCAAAUGUGAGGAUUUCUUUGUUUUUAGUGUAGGUGGGUUUCCUCUUUUUCUUUUAGAAAGCUUAGAAAGGUUAGCACAACUCCUUGAGUCAGUCACUACUGUAUCUGCCCUUUUAAAAAGUCCUUUAGCUAGACUAAGAAUGUCUAGAAGUGUGGUGUGUUUGUGUAGUGACAUGUUUUUUAUGCUACAGCAUAUUGGUGAGGUUAAAGUGCUGACUCUUCCUUUUACUUUGAGAGUAUUUGCAUCCACAUCAGAUGAACGAUAGGGGGAUUGUAGCCCUUUCUAUACAUAGUCCCCAGUUUUAGGGGACAGAAAGUAUUUGGACUGCAGGUUUACAUAAAUUAAAUCAUCAUAUUUCAUAUUUGGUUGCAGCCAAUGGAGUGUUAAACUCUUUAUAAAUAAUAAAGAAUGUUUUCCCCCCCAGUAAUUAAUGUUACUGAGAAGAUUUGUACCAGCUAUUCAGGGGAUUUAACCUUCUAUGAGUCACUGUUCAACCGAUAGGGCAUUAGCACUAUGUAGAACAUUUAUGGACGGCUAGUCCUACAAAAAGUUACAUUAAUAUGAACAUGUACUAUUAACAGAUAGAGUCGUCCUGUCUCUCGUAAAAAUAAUCCAAGGUCAACUGAAACUUUAAAAAAUAUGGUGUCUCCCUACCUUCAAAGCAGUCUGACUGUCAAAGAGUGUAAUAAAUAUUUGAAAACUUUAUGUCCAAAGUCAUUGCAACGGUCUAUCAAUCAAAAAUAGUCCUUUUGCCUUAUUAUAAAUGUAAUCCAAAUGGGGAUACUGUCAAGA